UACGUAGGGUGCGAGCGUUGUCCGGAAUUAUUGGGCGUAAAGAGCUCGUAGGUGGCUUGUCACGUCGGGUGUGAAAGCUUGGGGCUUAACUCCAGGUCUGCAUUCGAUACGGGCUGGCUAGAGGUAGGUAGGGGAGAACGGAAUUCCUGGUGUAGCGGUGAAAUGCGCAGAUAUCAGGAGGAACACCGGUGGCGAAGGCGGUUCUCUGGGCCUUACCUGACGCUGAGGAGCGAAAGCGUGGGGAGCGAACAGG
rnacentral:rRNA from 1 species